GCCUGGUUGGCUCAGUUGGUUAAGCAUUUGACUCUUGAUUUCGGUUCAGGUCAUGAUCUCAGGAUUGUGGGGUCCAGCCCCACAUCAGGCU
rnacentral:tRNA from 1 species